GUCGUUUUCGUCUAUAAUAUAACAAUAUAGUUGAUGUUCGCGGGCGUUGUUGCUCGCCGUAUAAAAGGACUACUAUAGAGAUACUAGAGCUUGCCGUUUUAGAAGGGCAGGAGAUACUAGCGCUCACCGUUGUGCUGUUGAUCUCCGUAUAAAAGGGCAGGAGAUACUAGUACUCACCGUUGUGCUGUUGAUCUCCGUAUUAAAGGGCAAGGGAUACUAGUGCUCACCGUUGUGCUGUCGAUCUCCGUAUAAAAGGGCAGGGGAUACUAGUGCUCACCGUUGUGCUGUCGAUCUCCGUAUAAAAGGGCAGGGGAUACUAGCGCUCACCGUUCUGCUGUUGAUCUCCGUAUAAAAGGGCAGGGGAUACUAGCGCUCACCGUUCUGCUGUUGAUCUCCGUAUAAAAGGGCAAGGGAUACUAGCGCUCACCGUUGUGCUGUUGAUCUCCGUAUAAAAGGGCAGGGGAUACUAGUGCUCACCGUUGUGCUGUCGAUCUCCGUAUAAAAGGGCAGGAGAUACUAGUGCUCACCGUUGUGCUGUUGAUCUCCGUAUAAAAGGGCAGGAGAUACUAGUACUCACCGUUGUGCUGUUGAUCUCCGUAUAAAAGGGCAGGGGAUACUAGUACUCACCGUUGUGCUGUUGAUCUCCGUAUAAAAGGGCAGGAGAUACUAGUGCUCACCGUUGUGCUGUCGAUCUCCGUAUAAAAGGGCAAGGGAUACUAGCGCUCACCGUUGUGCUGUUGAUCUCCGUAUAAAAGGGCAGGGGAUACUAGUGCUCACCGUUGUGCUGUCGAUCUCCGUAUAAAAGGGCAGGAGAUACUAGUGCUCACCGUUGUGCUGUUGAUCUCCGUAUAAAAGGGCAGGAGAUACUAGUACUCACCGUUGUGCUGUUGAUCUCCGUAUAAAAGGACAGGAGAUACUAGCGCUCACCGAUGUGCUGUUGAUCUCCGUAUAAAAGGGCAGGAGAUACUAGUGCUCACCGUUGUGCUGUCGAUCUCCGUAUAAAAGGGCAAGGGAUACUAGUGCUCACCGUUGUGCUGUUGAUCUCCGUAUAAAAGGGCAGGAGAUACAAGUGCUCACAGUUGUGCUGUUGAUCUUCGUAAAAAAGGGCAGGAGAUACUAGUGCUCACCGUUGUGCUGUUGAUCUCCGUAUAAAAGGGCAGGGGAUACUAGCGCUCACCGUUGUGCUGUUGAUCUCCGUAUAAAAGGGCAAGGGAUACUAGUGCUCACCGAUGUGCUGUUGAUCUCCGUAUAAAAGGGCAAGGGAUACUAGUGCUCACCGUUGUGCUGUCGAUCUCCGUAUAAAAGGGCAGGAGAUACUAGUGCUCACCGUUGUGCUGUCGAUCUCCGUAUAAAAGGGCAAGGGAUACUAGCGCUCACCGUUGUGCUGUCGAUCUCCGUAUAAAAGGGCAAGGGAUACUAGCGCUCACCGUUGUGCUGUUCAUCUCCGUAUAAAAGGGCAGGAGAUACUAGUGCUCACCGAUGUGCUGUUGAUCUCCGUAUAAAAGGGCAGGAGAUACUAGUGCUCACCGAUGUGCUGUUGAUCUCCGUAUAAAAGGGCAGGGGAUACUAGCGCUCACCGAUGUGCUGUUGAUCUCCGUAUAAAAGGGCAGGAGAUACUAGUGCUCACCGUUGUGCUGUUGAUCUCCGUAUAAAAGGGCAGGGGAUACUAGCGCUCACCGUUGUGCUGUUGAUCUCCGUAUAAAAGGGCAGGAGAUACUAGUGCUCACCGUUGUGCUGUCGAUCUCCGUAUAAAAGGGCAGGGGAUACUAGUGCUCACCGUUGUGCUGUCGAUCUCCGUAUAAAAGGGCAGGGGAUACUAGCGCUCACCGUUGUGCUGUUGAUCUCCGUAUAAAAGGGCAGGGGAUACUAGUGCUCACCGUUGUGCUGUCGAUCUCCGUAUAAAAGGGCAGGAGAUACUAGUGCUCACCGUUGUGCUGUCGAUCUCCGUAUAAAAGGGCAGGGGAUACUAGCGCUCACCGUUGUGCUGUUGAUCUCCGUAUAAAAGGGCAGGGGAUACUAGUGCUCACCGUUGUGCUGUCGAUCUCCGUAUAAAAGGGCAGGAGAUACUAGUGCUCACCGUUGUGCUGUCGAUCUCCGUAUAAAAGGGCAGGGGAUACUAGCGCUCACCGUUGUGCUGUUGAUCUCCGUAUAAAAGGGCAGGGGAUACUAGUGCUCACCGUUGUGCUGUUGAUCUCCGUAUAAAAGGGCAGGAGAUACUAGUACUCACCGUUGUGCUGUUGAUCUCCGUAUUAAAGGGCAAGGGAUACUAGCGCUCACCGUUGUGCUGUUGAUCUCCGUAUAAAAGGGCAGGGGAUACUAGUGCUCACCGUUGUGCUGUCGAUCUCCGUAUAAAAGGGCAGGGGAUACUAGUGCUCACAGUUGUGCUGUUGAUCUCCGUAUAAAAGGACAGGGAUACUAGCGCUCACCGUUGUGCUGUUGAUCUCCGUAUAAAAGGGCAAGGGAUACUAGCGCUCACCGAUGUGCUGUUGAUCUCCGUAUAAAAGGGCAGGGAUACUAGCGCUCACCGUUGUGCUGUUGAUCUCCGUAUAAAAGGGCAGGAGAUACUAGUGCUCACCGUUGUGCUGUCGAUCUCCGUAUAAAAGGGCAGGGAUACUAGCGCUCACCGUUGUGCUGUUGAUCUCCGUAUAAAAGGGCAGGGGAUACUAGUGCUCACCGUUGUACUGUUGAUCUCCGUAUAAAAGGGCAGGGGAUACUAGCGCUCACCGAUGUGCUGUUGAUCUCCGUAUAAAAGGGCAGGAGAUACUAGUACUCACCGUUGUGCUGUUGAUCUCCGUAUAAAAGGACAGGGAUACUAGCGCUCACCGUUGUGCUGUUGAUCUCCGUAUAAAAGGGCAAGGGAUACUAGCGCUCACCGAUGUGCUGUUGAUCUCCGUAUAAAAGGGCAGGGAUACUAGCGCUCACCGUUGUGCUGUUGAUCUCCGUAUAAAAGGGCAGGGGAUACUAGUGCUCACCGUUGUACUGUUGAUCUCCGUAUAAAAGGGCAGGGGAUACUAGCGCUCACCGAUGUGCUGUUGAUCUCCGUAUAAAAGGGCAGGGGAUACUAGCGCUCACCGUUGUGCUGUUGAUCUCCGUAUAAAAGGACAGGAGAUACUAGCGCUCACCGAUGUGCUGUUGAUCUCCGUAUAAAAGGGCAGGGGAUACUAGCACUCACCGUUGUACUGUUGAUCUCCGUAUAAAAGGGCAGGGGAUACUAGCGCUCACCGUUGUGCUGUUGAUCUUCGUAAAAAAGGGCAGGAGAUACUAGCGCUCACCGAUGUGCUGUUGAUCUCCGUAUAAAAGGGCAGGAGAUACUAGCGCUCACCGAUGUGCUGUUGAUCUCCGUAUAAAAGGGCAGGAGAUACUAGUGCUCACCGUUGUGCUGUUGAUCUCCGUAUAAAAGGGCAGGGGAUACUAGUGCUCACCGUUGUGCUGUUCAUCUCCGUAUAAAAGGGCUGGAGAUACAAGUGCUCACAGUUGUGCUGUUGAUCUUCGUAAAAAAGGGCAGGAGAUACUAGUGCUCACCGUUGUGCUGUUGAUCUCCGUAUAAAAGGGCAGGGGAUACUAGCGCUCACCGUUGUGCUGUUGAUCUCCGUAUAAAAGGGCAGGAGAUACUAGUGCUCACCGUUGUGCUGUCGAUCUCCGUAUAAAAGGGCAGGGAUACUAGCGCUCACCGUUGUGCUGUUGAUCUCCGUAUAAAAGGGCAGGAGAUACUAGCGCUCACCGAUGUGCUGUUGAUCUCCGUAUAAAAGGGCAGGAGAUACUAGUGCUCACCGAUGUGCUGUUGAUCUCCGUAUAAAAGGGCAGGAGAUACUAGUGCUCACCGUUGUGCUGUUGAUCUUCGUAAAAAAGGGCAGGAGAUACUAGCGCUCACCGAUGUGCUGUUGAUCUCCGUAUAAAAGGGCAGGAGAUACUAGCGCUCACCGAUGUGCUGUUGAUCUCCGUAUAAAAGGGCAGGAGAUACUAGUGCUCACCGUUGUGCUGUUGAUCUCCGUAUAAAAGGGCAGGGGAUACUAGUGCUCACCGUUGUGCUGUUCAUCUCCGUAUAAAAGGGCUGGAGAUACAAGUGCUCACAGUUGUGCUGUUGAUCUUCGUAAAAAAGGGCAGGAGAUACUAGUGCUCACCGUUGUGCUGUUGAUCUCCGUAUAAAAGGGCAGGGGAUACUAGCGCUCACCGUUGU